UACGUAGGGUGCAAGCGUUGCCCGGAUUUAUUGGGCGUAAAGGGCGCGUAGGCGGCUCUGCACGUUCGUUGUGAAAUCGCCCGGCUCAACUGAGCGGGGUCAGCGGAUACGGCAGAGCUUGAGCAAGCUAGGGGGCAAUGGAAUUCCCGGUGUAGUGGUGGAAUGCGUAGAUAUCGGGAGGAACACCGGUGGCGAAGGCGGCGACCUGGGUAGAUACUGACGCUGAGGCGCGAAAGCGUGGGGAGCAAACAGG
rnacentral:rRNA from 1 species